ensembl:rRNA 5S_rRNA 5S ribosomal RNA
GUCUACAGCCGUACCACCCUAAAUGCGCCCGAUCCUGUCUGAUUUAGGAAGCUAAGCAUGGUUGGGCCUGGUUAGUNN